UCUCUGGUGGCCUAGUGGUUAGAGCGUUUGCAUCAUAUGCAGUAGGUCGUGGGUUCGAACGCCGGCUGAGUCACACCAAAGAC